AAAGAGAUCGUAUGAUCCCGUUGAUUAUGAGUCAAUUGAUAAAACAGAAUUUUGGGUGGUUGAAGAAGAACAAGAAGGGGAGCUUGAUUAUGAGGAGUUAGAGGAAGAGCUUGAAGAACUUCCAAUUCAUGGUCAAUGUUCAAAUUCUGAACAACUUGAAGAUAAUGAAGAGGAAGCAGAAGAUGUUGAUUUAGAAACAUUUCAGCGUCGAAACUUUUUUAAUGAUGAAGAUGAUGAUUGGCAUUAAAUGUUCAAAUGUGAUUCAUAUAAUGGUCUUGGAUGAUGAUGAUGACUUGUCAAGAUGGCUUUUUUUGAAGCUUUGUUGUCCCAGAAUUAUGAAGAAGAUUAUAGAAGCUUCAGAAAUUGGACUCGUUUGGACCUUUUGAUUGUUUUCUAGACUUGUAUUUUUUUUUUGUUAAUUUUAAUAUUUAGACAAUUGGACAUGUAAGUUUCAUAACUAUGUUAAUUGUGUGUGUUAAUUGUUGGAUAUUGCUCUUAUAUUUAUUGUGGUUCAGCAUUUAUAUCUUAUUCUA